UACGAAGGGGGCUAGCGUUGCUCGGAAUCACUGGGCGUAAAGCGCACGUAGGCGGAUUGCUAAGUCAGGGGUGAAAUCCUGGAGCUCAACUCCAGAACUGCCUUUGAUACUGGCGGCCUUGAGUCCGGGAGAGGUGAGUGGAACUGCGAGUGUAGAGGUGAAAUUCGUAGAUAUUCGCAAGAACACCAGUGGCGAAGGCGGCUCACUGGCCCGGUACUGACGCUGAGGUGCAAAAGCGUGGGGAGCAAACAGG
rnacentral:rRNA from 1 species